rnacentral:rRNA from 1 species
AGCCUGAUGCAGCGACGCCGCGUGAGGGAUGACGGCCUUCGGGUUGUAAACCUCUUUCAGUAGGGAAGAAGCGAAAGUGACGGUACCUGCAGAAGAAGCACCGGCUAACUACGUGCCAGCAGCCGCGGUAAUACGUAGGGUGCGAGCGUUAUCCGGAAUUAUUGGGCGUAAAGAGCUCGUAGGCGGUUUGUCGCGUCUGUCGUGAAAGUCCGGGGCUUAACCCCGGAUCUGCGGUGGGUACGGGCAGACUAGAGUGCAGUAGGGGAGACUGGAAUUCCUGGUGUAGCGGUGGAAUGCGCAGAUAUCAGGAGGAACACCGAUGGCGAAGGCAGGUCUCUGGGCUGUAACUGACGCUGAGGAGCGAAAGCAUGGGGAGCGAACAGGAUUAGAUACCCUGGUAGUCCAUGCCGUAAACGUUGGGCACUAGGUGUGGGGACCAUUCCACGGUUUCCGCGCCGCAGCUAACGCAUUAAGUGCC